CCCUUAGAUGUUCUGGGCCGCACGCGCGCUACACUGAUGCAUUCAACGAGUCUAAAACCUGCUCUGAUAGGGGUGGGUAAUCUUUUGAAUGUGCAUCGUGAUUGGGAUAGAUGAUUGCAAUUUUUCAUCUUCAACGAGGAAUGCCUAGUAAACGCAAGUCAUCAGCUUGCAUUGAUUACGUCCCUGCCCUUUUUACACACCGCCCGUCGCUCCUACCGAUUGAAUGAUCCGAUGAAUAUCAUGGAUUGAGGAUGCAAGUAGGUUCGCCUAUCUUCAUCUUCGAGAAGUGAAGUAAAUCUUAUCAUUUAGAGGAAGGAGAAGUCGUAACA
rnacentral:rRNA from 1 species